AUUGAACGCUGGCGGCAGGCCUAACACAUGCAAGACGAGCGGAUGAAGGGAGCUUGCUCCUGGAUUCAGCGGCGGACGGGUGAGUAAUGCCUAGGAAUCUGCCUGGUAGUGGGGGAUAACGUCCGGAAACGGGCGCUAAUACCGCAUACGUCCUGAGGGAGAAAGUGGGGGAUCUUCGGACCUCACGCUAUCAGAUGAGCCUAGGUCGGAUUAGCUAGUUGGUGGGGUAAAGGCCUACCAAGGCGACGAUCCGUAACUGGUCUGAGAGGAUGAUCAGUCACACUGGAACUGAGACACGGUCCAGACUCCUACGGGAGGCAGCAGUGGGGAAUAUUGGACAAUGGGCGAAAGCCUGAUCCAGCCAUGCCGCGUGUGUGAAGAAGGUCUUCGGAUUGUAAAGCACUUUAAGUUGGGAGGAAGGGCAGUAAGUUAAUACCUCGCUGUUUUGACGUUACCAACAGAAUAAGCACCGGCUAACUUCGUG
rnacentral:rRNA from 1 species